CAGGCCUAACACAUGCAAGUCGAACGGCCGCCCUGCUGACUCCGGUCGGCAGGGUUGGCAGUGGCGAACGGGUGAGUAACGCGUGGGAACCAACCCUGGAGUGGGGGAUAACCACUGGAAAUGGUGGCUAAUACCGCAUACGCCCUGCGGGGGAAAGGUCUUAUGGCCGCUCUGGGACGGGCCCGCGUCCGAUUAGGUUGUUGGUGGGGUAAUGGCCUACCAAGCCUGCGAUCGGUAGCUGGUCUGAGAGGAUGAUCAGCCACACUGGGACUGAGACAAGGCCCAGACUCCUACGGGAGGCAGCAGUGGGGAAUAUUGGACAAUGGGGGAAACCCUGAUCCAGCCAUGCCGCGUGGGGGAAGAAGGCCCUAGGGUUGUAAACCCCUUUCGGUGGGGAAGAUGGUGACGGUACCCACAGAAGAAGCCCCGGCUAACUCCGUGCCAGCAGCCGCGGUAAUACGGAGGGGGCUAGCGUUGUUCGGAAUUACUGGGCGUAAAGGGCGCGUAGGCGGCGCGUCGGGUCAGGCGUGAAAGCCCUGGGCUCAACCUAGGAACUGCGCUUGAAACUGGCGAGCUAGAGACCGUGAGAGGGUGGCGGAAUUCCCAGUGUAGAGGUGAAAUUCGUAGAUAUUGGGAGGAACACCAGUGGCGAAGGCGGCCACCUGGCACGGUUCUGACGCUGAAGCGCGAAAGCGUGGGGAGCAAACAGGAUUAGAUACCCUGGUAGUCCACGCCGUAAGCGAUGUGUGCUAGAUGUCGGACAGCAUGCUGUUCGGUGUCGAAGCAAACGCGUUAAGCACACCGCCUGGGGAGUCGGCCGCAAGGUUAAAAC
rnacentral:rRNA from 1 species